CCUACGGGUGGCAGCAGUGGGGAAUAUUGGGCAAUGGAGGAAACUCUGACCCAGCAACGCCGCGUGAAUGAUGAAGGUCUUAGGAUUUGUAAGUUCUUUUCUUAGGGAAGUAGAAAGUGACGCUACCUUAGGAAUAAGCCUCGGCUAACUACGUGCCAGCAGCCGCGGUGAUACGUAGGAGGCGAGCGUUAUCCGGAGUGACUGGGCGUAAAGGGUGCGUAGGUGGUUUGGCAAGUUAGUAGCGUAUCUCCAAGGCUCAACCUUGGAACUACUACUAAAACUGUUGGACUCGAGUGCAGGAGGGGUAACAGGAAUUCGUAGUGUAGCGGUGGAAUGCGUAGAUAUUAGGAGGAAACCCAGUGGCGAAGGCGGGUUGCUAGACUGUAACUGACACUGAGGCACGAAAGCGUGGGGAGCAAACAGGAUUAGAUACCCGUGUAGUC
rnacentral:rRNA from 1 species